UGGAUCUUUCCUAUCUCAAAUGUAAAAGGUAAAGUUGUGCUGUCGAGUUGGUGUUGACUCCUGGCGACCACAGAGGGACUUCGCUGAGAUCGUCUGUGGGGAAGCUGUGUAUUACAGUGCUAAAGUGGGAAAUCCAGAAAGAGGCUUUGCCACCUGGUCUAGAGACAGAACUUAUGUGCCAUUAAGUGCUGUGUGAAGGGCAGAGGAUCAACAGGAUUGUGAGGAUAACUGGCAACCAGAGGCUGCUAAAGAGGCAAUUACCCACGAAGAAGCCAUCUCGCCAUGGUGGUUCAACAGUGCACCCGGGCACGCUUGCUCAGAAUCUCCA